UUGACUUUUCUGAGAGAAAAGAGAAAGAAGAUGUCAACUGUUAAACCUAUUUAUUGCACAACUGACGAAAAUCAAGAUGGCACAACCGAACAGGAUGAAAACAUAAACAUCGAUAGUUUAUUGAAUGAUUUUAUGUCAUUUGCCUGGCAAAUCGCACAAGGAAUGGAAUACUUAGCAUCCAAAGGAAUCGUACAUCGUGAUCUUGCUGCUCGCAAUGUAUUACUAACUAACGACAACUUUGUUAAAAUUGCUGAUUUCGGUCUAUCUCGUCAAAUGACGUAC